CCUACGGGAGGCAGCAGUAGGGAAUUUUCGUCAAUGGGCGCAAGCCUGAACGAGCAAUGCCGCGUGAACGAGGAAGGUCUUCUGAUCGUUAAGUUCUGUUGAAGGGGAUAAAGAGCGGAUAGAGGAAAUGCUUUCUGAGUGAUAUUACCCUUCGAGGAAGUCACGGUUCACUCCGGGCCACCAGCUGCUGUAAUAUGUAGGUUGCGUGUGUUAUCCGGAGUGAUUUGGCGUAAACGGGGCGUAGGCGGCCUGCUAAGUCUGGAGUGAAAGGGACGGGCGCAACCGGUACAGGAUCUGGAAACUGGCGGGCUAGAGAGCAGGAGAGGGAGGUGGAACUCGAGGUGUAGCGGUGAAAUGCGUAGAUAUAUGGAAGAACACCGAUGGCGAAGGCGGCCGCCUGGCGUGUUACUGACGCUGAGGCACGAAAGCGUGGGGAGCAAAUAGGAUUAGAUACCCGAGUAGUC
rnacentral:rRNA from 1 species